AACGAACGCUGGCGGCGCGCUUAACACAUGCAAGUCGAACGAGAAGGCGUAGCAAUACGCUUGUACAGUGGCGAACGGGUGAGUAAUACGUGGGCGACCUACCCUCGAGUGGGGAAUAACCCGCCGAAAGGCGGGCUAAUGCCGCGUACGCUUCCAUCUUUUAUGGAGGUGGAAGGAAAGCCGUGCCGUGGGCACGGCGCUCAAGGAUGGGCUCACGUCCUAUCAGCUUGUUGGUAGGAACGGCCUACAAGGCUCCGACGGUANCUGGUCUGAGAGGACGAUCAGCCACACUGGCACUGCG
rnacentral:rRNA from 1 species